rnacentral:rRNA from 1 species
UACAGAGGGUGCGAGCGUUAAUCGGAAUUACUGGGCGUAAAGCGUGCGUAGACCGUCGUGUAAGUCGGGUGUGAAAGCCCCGGGCUCAACCUGGGAAUUGCAUUCGAGACUGCAUGGCUAGGGUGCGGAAGAGGGAAGCGGAAUUUCCGGUGUAGCGGUGAAAUGCGUAGAUAUCGGAAGGAACACCAGUGGCGAAAGCGGCUUCCUGGUCCGACACCGACGUUCAGGCACGAAAGCGUGGGGAGCAAACAGG